UCGCGGCCUAUCAGCUUGUUGGUGGGGUAAUGGCCUACCAAGGCGACGACGGGUAGCCGGCCUGAGAGGGCGAACGGCCACACUGGGACUGAGACACGGCCCAGACUCCUACGGGAGGCAGCAGUGGGGAAUAUUGCGCAAUGGGCGAAAGCCUGACGCAGCGACGCCGCGUGAGGGACGACGGCCUUCGGGUUGUAAACCUCUUUCAGCAGGGAUGAAGCGAAAGUGACAGUACCUGCAGAAGAAGCACCGGCUAACUACGUGCCAGCAGCCGCGGUAAUACGUAGGGUGCAAGCGUUGUCCGGAAUUAUUGGGCGUAAAGAGCUCGUAGGCGGUUUGUCGCGUCGACUGUGAAAACCCGCAGCUCAACUGCGGGCCUGCAGUCGAUACGGGCAGGCUAGAGUUCGGUAGGGGAGACUGGAAUUCCUGGUGUAGCGGUGAAAUGCGCAGAUAUCAGGAGGAACACCGAUGGCGAAGGCAGGUCUCUGGGCCGCAACUGACGCUGAGAAGCGAAAGCAUGGGGAGCGAACAGGAUUAGAUACCCUGGUAGUCCAUGCCGUAAACGUUGGGCACUAGGUGUGGGGCUCAUUCCACGAGUUCCGUGCCGCAGCUAACGCAUUAAGUGCCCCGCCUGGGGAGUACGG
rnacentral:rRNA from 1 species